UAUUGUACGGAGGCCAAAAUAGGCUUUGGUGGAACUGGUUAAAAACCACCCACAGGAGGGUGAGAAUGCCAUUAAAGGCAUUAUGUUUCAGCUGAUCUCAGCAAUUGCUAUUCUCCAUGAUCAUGAUAUUGUUCAUAGGGAUUUAAAGCCCGGAAAUAUUGUAAUAUGUAUACCAACCCAAAAGCGUAGGUGUGCGGCUAGUGUUGAGGAAAUUAAGCAAAUACAUGAUUUUAAGUUGAGACUAAUUGACAUGGGGAGUGCCACAAAUGCCUACACAAUACAGUUAUAUAUAUGGACCUUGG